AAGGUGUAAUUUAAGACAAGUUAAGGAGGACAACCUUUACCUUGAAGAAUCCAAGUCUUAACAAGUGGUUGUUCUGUCCAGCAAGAUCAGUAAUCUGAAGAGAAGGAGCUUAAGUCAUACUUUUUGAAUUGUAUAGCAAGGUACAAGUACUCAACUAGUAGAUCUCCCUAAUAGAAGCACAUGAUACUCAGUGGUUGUUGGUGAGCUCCAGGU